rnacentral:misc_RNA from 1 species
UGGAAGUAAAAGUCGUAACAAGGUCUCCGUUGGUGAACCAGCGGAGGGAUCAUUAAAAGAAGCCGAAAGGCUACUUAAAACCAUCGCGAACACGUCCAAGUUGCUUCGGCGGCGCGGGGCCCCUUCCCGGGGCGCCGCUGCCCUCCGCCCCCGGGUCUCCGGGAGGUGCGGGGCGCCCGCCGGAGGUACGAAACUCUUAUGUAUCACAGUGGCAUCUCUGAGUGAAAAACAAAUAAGUUAAAACUUUCAACAACGGAUCUCUUGGUUCUGGCAUCGAUGAAGAACGCAGCGAAAUGCGAUAAGUAAUGUGAAUUGCAGAAUUCAGUGAAUCAUCGAAUCUUUGAACGCACAUUGCGCCCGGCAGUACUCUGCCGGGCAUGCCUGUUCGAGCGUCAUUUCAACCCUCAAGCCCUGCUUGGUGUUGGGGCCCUACGGCUGCCGUAGGCCCUGAAAGGAAGUGGCGGGCUCGCUGCAACUCCGAGCGUAGUAACUCAUUAUCUCGCUAGGGACGUUGCGGCGCGCUCCUGCCGUUAAAGAACCCAUCUUUAACCAAGGUUGACCUCGGAUCAGGUAGGAAUACCCGCUGAACUUAAGCAUAUCAAUAAGCGGAGGAAAAGAAACCAACAGGGAUUGCCCUAGUAACGGCGAGUGAAGCGGCAACAGCUCA